AGAGUUUGAUCCUGACUUAGGAUAAACGUAGGUGGCAUGUUUAACACAUGCAAGUCAGACGAGAAAUGAUAUUUUCAGUGGUGAACAAGUGAGUAACGUGUACGAACUUGCCCUUGAGAGGGGAACAAUAACCGAAAAUGACUACUAAUACCCCAUAGGUUGAGGAGAAAAAAGAGGAAUUUGCAUGUGGAGAGGCUUGUGUCUGAUUAGUUAGUUAGUGAGGCAAUAAUUUACUAAGGCGAUGAUCAUUAGUUGAUCUGGGAGGAUGAUCAGUCAUAUUAAUUAGGACUGCGACAUGACCUAAACUCCUGCAAGAGGCAAUAAUAGGGAGUUUUUGCAACGAGUGAAAGCUUGACAGAGCAAUUUCACGUGGAGGUAGAAGGCCUACGAGUUGUGAACUUCUUUUCCUGGAGAAAAAGGCAAUGACGAUAUCUAAGGAAUAAGCAUCUGCUAACUUUGUGCCAACAGUCAUGAUAAUACAAAGGAUGCAAGUGUUAUCCAGAAUGAUUGGGUAUAAAGCGUAUAUAGGUGGCUUUUUAAGAUUGUUAUCAAAUCCCAGGGCUCAAACCUGGACAAGAGGUGGAAAUUGCCAAACUAGAGUACGGUAAGGGCAAAGGAAAUUUCUGGUAAAGCGGUGAAAUGCGUAGAGAUCGAAAAGAACACCAACGAUUAAAGCACUCUGCUAGACCAACAUUGACAUUGAGAUAUAAAAGCUAAGGGAGAGAAUAUGAUUAGAUACCCAGUAGUCCUAGGUAAUGUGUGUAUUGACAUGUGCAGUGUUGUAGCUAAUUCAUUAAGUAUCCCGUCUAAGGAGUGUGUUCGCAAGAAUGAAACUCAAAGAAAUUGAUGGAGCAUGUGAUUUAAUUCAUUGCAAAGAUAAGAACCUUAUCAGAGCUUGACAUACCGUGAAUCCUCUUGAAAGAGAGACACAGGUGGUGCAAGGCUCCUAUCAACUCAUGCUAUAAGGUGUUGGGUUAAGUCUUGCAAUGAAUGGGAUCCUCGUGUUUACUUGUCAUCAUUGAGUUUGGAAUCCUUGAGCAUAUUGUUGGUGAUAAGUCGGGGGAAAGUGAGGAUAACAUCAAAGCAAAAAAAAAAAUUGGUAAGUAAAAUCACUCAUGGACGUUUUAAUAUAAAACCUAAUCCUAAAAAGACUAAAAGAAAAUCAUGUAUUGGUCCAGGUAAAUUCAUUGUACGUAAAUGAAAGAUAAAAAAUAAAAUUCUUAUUGGAACACUUUAAUUUUUUAAGUAUAUUGUUCCGAUGAUUUGGUUUCAUCAAAACAU
rnacentral:rRNA from 1 species